rnacentral:rRNA from 1 species
CGAAGGGUGCAAGCGUUACUCGGAAUUACUGGGCGUAAAGCGUGCGUAGGUGGUUCGUUAAGUCUGCCGUGAAAGCCCCGGGCUCAACCUGGGAAUGGCGGUGGAUACUGGCGGACUAGAGUGCGGUAGAGGGUGGUGGAAUUCCCGGUGUAGCAGUGAAAUGCGUAGAGAUCGGGAGGAACAUCUGUGGCGAAGGCGGCCACCUGGACCAGCACUGACACUGAGGCACGAAAGCGUGGGGAGCAAACAGGAUUAGAUACCCUGGUAGUCCACGCCCUAAAACGAUGCGAACUGGACGUUGGGAGCAACUAGGCUCUCAGUGUCGAAGCUAACGCGUUAAGUUCGCCGCCUGGGGAGUACGGUCGCAAGACUG